rnacentral:misc_RNA from 1 species
CGAGGGCAAAAAGAAGAAACACAGUAGACAUUGUCGCUAAUCAAAUAUUUCAUGUGCAAUACUGAUCUGAAAUUCAAACUAUUACAAACUAACAGCCUAGAGAGAACAAGAACACUGGAACACUUCUCCUGAAACAAUUCCAUCAGAGAAUAAGGAAGUUUCACCUGGGGGCACCAUACAUCUGAUUAGCAUCAUACUGAGGAGCAUAACCAGGCUGGGGUGAGACGCUCUUAACAUAGCCACCAGCAGCAGCAGCAGCAGGUACAGGCGCAUAACCACCACUUGGUUGAGUCAUGGAUUGAUCAUAACCAGGCUGAGCUGGGGCUGAAGAAGGCACUGGAGCUGGUUGAGCAUAAGCUUGCUGUCCACUAUAAGUUGUUGAAGCCUGAGCACCACUGUAAGUUUGAUCAACUGGUCCCUGAUAACCAUAGCCUGCAUUGUUUGUUGCCUGCUGUUCAGUGUAAGUGGGCUGUGAAGGGUAGGAACUGUAACCUCCAACAGGGGCUGCUUGAGCAUAAGCAAGAGGUUGUUGUGGCACAGGCUGACCAUAUCCAGGAACAGGCUGGGCACUUUGCUGAGGAUACCCAGGACCAGAGGCUGGAGCACCUUGUGGAUGAUUAUAUCCAUCAGCAGCAGUGGAAGAUCCAUAUGCAGGGUAAGUUUGUUGCACUUGCCCACUGGCUGCAUAGGGGUAUUGCUGUUGAUGCGGCAUACUAGCACCAUACCCUUGGGUUGAUGGAGCUGGACCCUGAUAUGGCACUUCUCCAGGUUGAUUAGCCCUUGGAUGGCUAUAAGAUUGCGAAGCCUGUGGAUGCAUACCAUAGGAAGGAGGUUUACCGUAUUGCUCAUGGGUUCCAUAGCUGGGAUGUGCACCACUUUGAGGGUAAGAUGUUGGCUGAGAAGGUCCAUGUCCUCCAUACUGAUUUUGCGGUGCCAUCUGGUGGUCAUAUUUUACAUCAGUGUAUCCAUGUCCAUAGCCUUGUCCAUGCUGUGUCUGAUGAGGGUAUGAAUGGCCAUAAUCUGGACCAUGUUGCUGCCCAUAGUUGUAGUUUGCCUGUGAUGGAGGGCCCUGCAUAGAGGCUUGAGGCCUUUGCUCCCAACCUGGACCAAAUCCGCCUCUUGGUGCUUGUUGUGGAGGAUAAUUUCCAUAGGCAGGAGGUGGAUAUUGUGGGCUUCGAGAUGAGUAUUGUCCUCUUUGAUGGUAAUCAUAACCUGGAAACUGCCCAGGAUGACCACCACGGGGUCCCCAUUGAGGGGGGGCACCUCCGCCACGUGGGCGAAAUGGCUGCUGACCAUAACCAGAAGAGAGACUUGCUGGCCUCACAGGCUGACUCAUGACUUCUUUGAUCAUCUCCCGUGCCAUCUCAAUUUGCUUUUUAUCACCAGUCACACGUACUGUUCUUUCUUUAGAUUCUUUUCCAUCAGAAGGAAGUGGCACCAGCUGAAUUCGUGCCCCUGAUCUUGUCUGAAGGCUCUUGAUAGUGUCCCCACCUUUUCCAAUUAUUAAACCAACCUUCUCAUUUGGAACUUGUAUCUCAAUCUGUUCUCCAACCACAGCCUGCACAGUGCCGAAGCCUCUAGCCACAAGUGCAGGAGAACCACCAGCAUCAGCCUCAGCUAUGACAUCCUUUAUUAAUUUCUCAGCUUUAUUUAUAUUUUCCAAUGUUCCAAUCAGUUCAACUGGCCUACUGGCAGCAUGUGGAUCAGUAUCAGCAUCGCGCAUUAUCUGAAUUUUAGCACCUGAGUUGUAUUGCAGGUAUCGAAUAGUAUCACCAGAUUUUCCAAUAAGAACGCCAACCUUAUUAUUGGGGACCUCCAUUUUGCGCGUAAUUGUUUGAUCAUCAGAGGCAGAAUGCUCUUGAUCAAGCUGCACACCCUCCAUUUCAGGAUGUUCAGCUGAGGGCUCCUUCUGAAUGUCACCGGGCACUUCAGCUGAGGGCUCAUGAAUGUCACCUUUAGAUGGUUCAUCCACUUGAGUACUCUUCUCUGCCUCAGACUCCUGAAUGUCACCUUUAGAUGGUUCAUCCACUUGAGUACUCUUCUCUGCCUCAGACUCC